CGGAACGGGUGAGUAACGCGUGAGGAACCUGCCUCAAAGAGGGGGACAACAGUUGGAAACGACUGCUAAUACCGCAUAAGCCCACAGCUCGGCAUCGAGCAGAGGGAAAAGGAGUGAUCCGCUUUGAGAUGGCCUCGCGUCCGAUUAGCUAGUUGGUGAGGUAACGGCCCACCUAGUCUUCGAUGGAUAGGGGUUCUGAGAGGAAGGUCCCCCACAUUGGAACUGAGACACGGUCCAA
rnacentral:rRNA from 1 species